CUACUUUACUCAAGUACAAGAUCUGAGUACUUCUACUUUACUCAAGUACAAGAUCUGAGUACUUCUACUUUACUCAAGUACAAGAUCUGAGUACUUCUACUUUACUCAAGUACAAGAUCUGAGUACUUCUACUUUACUCAAGUAUAAGAUCUGUGUACUUUGGAUUGUUUGUGAUUAAAGUGUAUAAAAUAAAAUACGUCACCGACGCCAGCAGGAGGAUCUCAACGCUGAUUGGAUGUUGCCGUCUCAUUUCGUCACGGCACACGUUGUUAGAGGAGAUUUCAAAAUAAGAUACACCUGCGUUAAACCAGCAUGUUCCGUGGAGAGGACAGGAAAGAAAGUACAGCCAGCUUUUAUUGUGAAAGGACACUGGUCAAAGUUUGGCUUUAUGUAACAUAAAUAAAGUCUAUGUGAAGGACAGAUCACCUGUCAGCUGAUCCCUCAAGUAAACAAGAGCACAGAUAAACAAACUGAGAGGAGUUCAGCUGGACCGGGAAACCUUCUCUUGUAUGGAACAAGUCUGGACCUCCUGAAGGACCCGGUGUCUCUGCCCUGUGGACACAGCUACUGCAUGGACUGUAUUCAUCUCCACUGGGAUGGAGAGGAGGUCCACAGCUGUCCUCGGUGCAGGAGGCCGGCCCUGCUGAGAAGCACCAUGUUAGUGGAGGAUCUAAAGAAGACCGGACCCCAGGCUGCCGGUCCCUGCUGUGCUGGAGCUAUGGGAGGGGAUGUCUGUCAUCUGGAACAUGAACACCAGGACUCAGAGUCCGCUGCAGCAGAGAGGGCUGAGGGGAGUCCACACAACAUCCAGCAGAGCCACCAGGAUAAACCAGAGGGGACUGAAGAGGUUUUACUGCCAGAACCAGAACCAGACCACCUUCACUCAGCCGCUGCACGCCGGACUUUAUCCGUUUUAUUUUUAUCAUUCUGGAGACACGGCUGAGCUCUGCAGACUCAAGUAGACCCUGAACUGGAAGCAUUUAAGGUCCGCUAUCAUGCAAGAUCCCCUUCUUCAUGUCUCUUGUUUGGAACAGGGCUGCAACAGAGGGGGUUAUGGGAUGCUACAGUGAUCUGUUUGGUGUUUCAGCCAAUCAGAGACAGGCUCUGGAUAUAUCUGAGACCUGGAAUAUACGGUUGAAGAAGAGAAUAAUUGGGGAGCUUUAACUGAACUGCACAUUUCAUUUAAUGCAUGAGAUAUAAACAUCUUAGAAAACAA